UACGAAGGGGGCGAGCGUUGUUCGGAAUCACUGGGCGUAAAGGGCGCGUGGGCGGCCCUCCUUGUCGCGUGUGAAAGCCCCGGGCUCAACCUGGGAAUGGCAGUGGAAACUAGGGGACUGGAAUCUGGGCAGAGGGGGGUGGAAUGCCGCGUGUAGCAGUGAAAUGCGUAGAGAUGCGGCGGAACACCGAUGGCGAAGGCAGCCCCCUGGGCUGAGAUUGACGCUCAGGCACGAAAGCGUGGGGAGCAAACAG
rnacentral:rRNA from 1 species